rnacentral:misc_RNA from 1 species
UUAAGUUCAGCGGGUAGUCCUACCUGAUUUGAGGUCAAAUAUUCAAGAUGAUUGUCCAUCAAGACUGGACGAUUGGCAGCUGAACAGACAGAGAGCGACCACACGGCGUAGAUAAUUAUCACACCUGUGACGGAUCGCAAACGGUUCCGCUAAUGCAUUUCAGAGGAGCUGACCUUUAAAAGGCCAGCAAAGCCUCCAUA